UGACUUUAACACUUCAUGACUGAGAGCUGCUGCUCAGCAACUUCACCCACAGCAACCAUGACUUUGAUCAGCGUCUUCAUCUGCACACUGGCCCUCUGGACUCAAGGAUCCAGAGGUCAGGUGACUGUGACUCAGACUCCUUCAGUGCAAACUGUUGAUCCAGGAAAAACAGUCACCUUCAACUGUAGAACCAGUAGCAGUGUGGCUGGUGGUAACCGUCUCGCCUGGUACCUGCAGAAACCUGGAGAAGCUCCUAAACUCCUGAUCUACUGGGCUACUACUUUACAGUCAGGAACUCCAGCUCGUUUCAGUGGCAGUGGAUCUAAUACUGACUUCACUCUGACCAUCAGAGGAGUCCAGACUGAAGAUGCAGGAGAUUACUACUGUCAGAGUGAACAUUAUAUCAGUAGUAGCUGGGUGUUCACACAGUGUUAGAGCGCCGUUCAAAAACCUCGGUCAGUGAGAGUGCACAGAGAAGCACUGCUGCAGCUGGGAGCGACUGCAGGUGCUGAGGGGGAGGAUGUGAUACAGCACAAUGACACACACUGUGGACGAGAGAAAACACACCACACUAACUCACUAAUGCACACACACAUCUGUGAGAGGAGUCCACCUUUCUCUUUAUUCUGCUCUGCAUGAUUAUGUCACAGUCACACUGAUGGACACAUAAUGCAGUCAGAUAAAACCAUAAAGUUCUGACUCUACUGCUGAGACACUGAGACUCCUCUCUCAUUCUCCAGAGUCUCUGUGUGUUUCUCCAGAAGAGACUGUUAUUAUCAGCUGCAGGACCGGUGUGGAUAUUGUCCGAACCUUCAGAAACCUGGAGAAGCUCCUAAACUCCUGAAACACCAGGAAUAUCAGCAUCAGUGUGGGAUUCCACCUGGUUUCAGUGGGAGUGGAUUAUGGGACAGAAUUUGUAAAAGUCACUUGAAUAUGCAGGAGAUCAGUACUGUCAGACACAACUCAUGCUGGUGUGGUCAACAGCUGCUCAUAGCAGGGUCGCUGAUCUUCAUUUGAUCAUUUAUCCAUAAUCACUCCUUUUUGUUCAUUUUGAUCCCAAACUUUCUAUAAGAAAGAUAUAAAUUCUGUAUCUAAUACAGUUAGGGUUAGGAUUACACUGAUGUCCAAUAACGGCUUGUACUUCUUUUAAACUCCUCACCAUUACAUCGAACACAAUAAUGGACUGAGCCUAG